rnacentral:rRNA from 1 species
GAUGAACGCUGGCGGCGUGCCCAAUACAUGCAAGUCGAACGCAUUGUGGUUGAAAUGAUAUGAAGAACUUGUUCAGAUUUGAUUUUCAACAUUGCAAUGAGUGGCGAACGGGUGAGUAACACGUGGGAAACCUACCUCUUAGCAGGGGAUAACAUUUGGAAACAAAUGCUAAUACCGUAUAAUAAUUAAAACCGCAUGGUUUUAGUUUAAAAGAUGGUCUUGCUAUCACUAAGAGAUGGUCCCGCGGUGUAUUAGUUAGUUGGUGAGGUAAUGGCUCACCAAGACAAUGAUACAUAGCCGAGUUGAGAGACUGACCGGCCACAAUGGGACUGAGACACGGCCCAUACUCCUACGGGAGGCAGCAGUAGGGAAUCUUCCACAAUGGACGAAAGUCUGAUGGAGCAACGCCGCGUGUGUGAUGAAGGGUUUCGCUCGUAAAACACUGUUGUAAGAGAAGAAUGACAUUGAGAGUAACUGUUCAAUGUGUGACGGUAU